rnacentral:rRNA from 1 species
UCGACGAACACCUGAGAACGAUUCUUCGGAUGAAGUCUCUUGUGACUGAGUGGCGGACGGGUGAGUAACGCGUGGGUAACCUGCCUCACACAGGGGGAUAACAGUUGGAAACGACCGCUAAUACCGCAUAACCCGCUGGUGCCGCAUGGCACUGACGGAAAAGAUUUAUCGGUGUGAGAUGGACCCGCGUCUGAUUAGCCAGUUGGCAGGGUAACGGCCUACCAAAGCGACGAUCAGUAGCCGGCCUGAGAGGGUGAACGGCCACAUUGGGACUGAGACACGGCCCAGACUCCUGCGGGAGGCAGCAGUGGGGAAUAUUGCACAAUGGGGGAAACCCUGAUGCAGCGACGCCGCGUGAGUGAAGAAGUAUUUCGGUAUGUAAAGCUCUAUCAGCAGGGAAGAAAAUGACGGUACCUGAUUAAGAAGCCCCGGCUAACUACGUGCCAGCAGCCGCGGUAAUACGUAGGGGGCAAGCGUUAUCCGGAUUUACUGGGUGUAAAGGGAGCGUAGACGGUGAUGCAAGUCAGAAGUGAAAGCCCGGGGCUCAACUCCGGGACUGCUUUUGAAACUGUGUGACUGGAGUGCAGGAGAGGUAAGCGGAAUUCCUGGUGUAGCGGUGAAAUGCGUAGAUAUCAGGAGGAACACCAGUGGCGAAGGCGGCUUACUGGACUGUAACUGACGUUGAGGCUCGAAAGCGUGGGGAGCAAACAGGAUUAGAUACCCUGGUAGUCCACGCCGUANACGAUGAAUAUUAGGUGUNGGGGAGCAAAGCUCUUCGGUGCCGCAGCAAACGCAUUAAAUAUUCCACCUNGGGAGUACGUUCGCAAGANUGAAACU